GGAGGUAUGGCUCAAGUGGUAGAGCACUUACCUGGUGAGUGAAAGUUCCUAGCUUCAAAUCCUAGUACCAUGG
rnacentral:tRNA from 1 species